CACGUAGGGGGCAAGCGUUGUCCGGAUUUACUGGGCGUAAAGAGCGCGCAGGCGGUCGAUCAAGUCGAGUGUGAAAGCCCCCGGCUCAACUGGGGAGGGUCAUUCGAUACUGAUCGACUCGAAGGCAGGAGAGGGUAGUGGAAUUCCCGGUGUAGUGGUGAAAUGCGUAGAUAUCGGGAGGAACACCAGUGGCGAAGGCGACUACCUGGCCUGUUCUUGACGCUGAGGCGCGAAAGCUAGGGGAGCAAACGGG
rnacentral:rRNA from 1 species